rnacentral:rRNA from 1 species
UACGGAGGGUGCGAGCGUUGUCCGGAAUCAUUGGGCGUAAAGGGCGCGUAGGUGGCCCGGUCAGUCUUUGGUGAAAGCGCGGGGCUCAACCCUGCGUCGGCCAGGGAUACUGCCGCGGCUCGAGCACUGUAGAGGGCAGGCGGAAUUCCGGGGUGUAGCGGUGGAAUGCGUAGAGAUCCGGAAGAACACCGGUGGCGAAGGCGGCCUGCUGGGGCAGUUUGCUGACACUGAGGCGCGACACGUGGGGGAGCAAACAGG